rnacentral:rRNA from 1 species
CCUACGGGUGGCAGCAGUGGGGAAUAUUGGGCAAUGGGCGCACGCCUGACCCAGCAACGCCGCGUGAAGGAAGAAGGCUUUCGGGUUGUAAACUUCUUUUGACAGGGAAGAGCAGAAGACGGUACCUGUCGAAUAAGCCACGGCUAACUACGUGCCAGCAGCCGCGGUAAUACGUAGGUGGCAAGCGUUGUCCGGAAUCAUUGGGCGUAAAGCGUUCGUAGGCGGCAAGGUAAGUCUGAUGUUAAAGCCAGGGGCUCAACUCCGGUUCGGCAUUGGAUACUAUCUAGCUAGAAGGUGGUAGAGGUAAAGGGAAUGCCUGGUGUAGCGGUGAAAUGCGUAGAUAUCAGGAGGAACAUCGGUGGCGAAAGCGCUUUACUGGACCAUUAUUGACGCUGAGGAACGAAAGCCAGGGGAGCAAAUGGGAGUAGAUACCCUUGUAGUC